rnacentral:tRNA from 1 species
GCCUCGGUGGUGUAAUGGUAAGCCCGGAAGACCGGAUUUCUUUAAGUGGGGGUGCGAGUCCCGCCUGAGGUU